GGAGCCGGAGCCGGAGCCUGAGUCGGAGCCGGCGGGGAGGAAGAGGCGGCGGCGGCGGCGGCGACGACGGAGGUUUAAACAGACCACAGGUCGGGUCGGGCCGAGCAAGCAGACUCUGAGGAAGAGGAGGAGGAGCGUCGGUAACGGCGGCGGCGGAGGCGGCGGCCCCCCACCCCAGCUAUGAGGAGGAGGGCGGCGGCAGCGGCGGGGGUGGGGGCUGCGGGGCCCCACUGGUGAUCGCCCGGACCCUGAGAACCUGAAAUCCAGAGCGUCUGGAGCUGGGGAAUGUUCACCUGUAGCUGCUUAGUGGAGGAAAAGACCUGACUUUGGGGCGACAGACCUCUUUCUCACUGGGGCAACUGCUGCUGGGAGCCAAAGGAUCUAAGCUGGAAGGAACCUUCCCACAGAAUGCCUUCUCCACCAAAGAGCGACCUACAGGCUACAAAGAUGAGAGCCGCACGAGGACUUUGGAAACCACUAACAUUUCAGUAGCUGGGAGUUUGUGGGUGACGUUUUCCCCUUCACCCCACCCACUGCCUCUGCCUUGGGCCGCGAUGCUGUAUUGAUUGCAGAAGAACCACACUUUGACCUUGAGUUUCGGUGGAUUGGGGUUUUGUAUGGCAGCAGCGUAACCGUGGAGA
rnacentral:lncRNA from 1 species